rnacentral:rRNA from 1 species
GGGCGUAAGGAUGCGUAGGCUGGAAAUCAAGUCGAGAGUGAAAUCCAACGGCUCAACCGUUGAACUGCUCUCGAAACUGGUUACCUAGAAUAUGGGAGAGGUAGAUGGAAUUGGUGGUGUAGGGGUAAAAUCCGUAGAUAUCACCAGGAAUACCGAUUGCGAAGGCGAUCUACUGGAACAUUAUUGACGCUGAGGCAUGAAAGCGUGGGGAGCAAACAGGAUUAGAUACCCUGGUAGUCCACGCCCUAAACGAUGCACACUAGUUGUUGCGAUGCUAGUCAUUGCAGUAAUGCACUUAACAGAUUAAGUGUGCCGCCUGGGGAGUACGGUCGCAAGAUUAAAACUCAAAGGAAUAGACGGGGACCCGCACAAGCGGUGGAGCAUGUGGUUUAAUUCGAAGAUACACGAAGAACCUUACCUGGGCUUGAUAUCCUAAGAAUCCUGUAGAGAUAUGGGAGUGCUAGUUUACUAGAACUUAGAGACAGGUGCUGCACGGCUGUCGUCAGCUCGUGUCGUGAGAUGUUGGGUUAAGUCCCGCAACGAGCGCAACCCUCGUGAUUAGUUGCUAACAGUUCGGCUGAGCACUCUAAUCAGACUGCCUUCGCAAGGAGGAGGAAGGUGAGGACGACGUCAAGUCAUCAUGGCCCUUAUGCCCAGGGCUACACACGUGCUACAAUGGCUAGGACAAAGAGAAGCGAUACUGCGAAGUGGAGCAAAUCUUAAAACCUAGUCUCAGUUCGGAUUGGAGUCUGCAACUCGACUCCAUGAAGCUGGAAUCGCUAGUAAUCGUAGAUCAGAUAUGCUACGGUG